GCACGGAGUUAGCCGAUCCUUAUUCUUACGGUACCGUCAAGACUCCUACACGUAGGAGUGUUUCUUCCCGUACAAAAGCAGUUUACAAUCCAUAGGACCGUCAUCCUGCACGCGGCAUGGCUGGAUCAGGCUUGCGCCCAUUGUCCAAUAUUCCUCA
rnacentral:rRNA from 1 species